UUUUGCUAAUUAAAAUUAAAUAUCUACAAUUGCAAGAGAUUGUAGACGAACAGGUAAUGAAAAAAAUGUGUCAUAAAAAAAAAAAAAAGGAAAGUAAAAUUUUCACAGUUGAAAUCUUUUUUCCCAUAAACAGAGGGGUAAAAAAAGAAAGAAGUAGAUGGAAUUUUAGUUCAGCUUUUAGCAGAAGUCCUAACUGUUUUAAAGCUGGUUUUUGAUCUAUGGAUGUAAGGACUUAGGUGAAUUAGCAACAACCAGUAGGAGAGAAUAGGAUGCAACAGUUAAAAUGCUUGGGUUUGUUAUAGUCAUUUGGUUUCAGUGAGGUUUUCUUUACUCAUUUUAAUUCUCUUUUAAAUCAUCUGUUGUUACAGAGUCCCUAAAAUGCAUUAUGGAAUUGCAAGCUAAAGCCAAGGCAUACCCAUUCAACAGUGACUCACUGUGCAGCCUGGGCUGUCUCAGUUCAGGAAGAGGUGAAUGGGGCAGUGAUAGUUCUCAGUCUCAUAAAACACUUCAAGAACUUCCUGUGAAAAGGAGUAGCCCUGUUACUACAAUCUCUUACCCGCCUCCUUUCUAGCCCAGUAACAUAGAAAGAGCAAAGAACAAAAUCCCUGCAGAAAACAUAGUCUUCCUGCUCGGCAUCUAUUUCUAUCAGAAUUUGGAACCCCCACCCAUCCCUUCCUGACACAUCUGAUAAAACUGGAAGUUACAAGAGUACUUUGGUGAUCUGCUCUGGGUGAGCCAAAGUGCCUUGGCUCUGGCUGGUGCAAGAUCAAACCCUCCGCAGGAAGCAGUAUCAAGGCAGGUGCUUGGCCAUUCCCAAGAAACCAGAGCUGUGUAAUAGCUACUUGGAAAGACAAACAACAUAACUCUGAACCUGCCUCCUUCCUCUUUUUGUAGAUUUAUGUGAACUUGGAUUCUCUAUCUCAACAAGGAGUCAUAAAGAGGGUGGUUAACCCAUGAGUUACAUUCCUUACUGACAACGCUGACCUGCUUGGGAAGGCAGAGAACAGGGUCCCUGCAUUUGCCCAUGUAGCUCACACUACAUCUGCCAAGCAGCAGCUCCAUAUUCCAAGGAGACAUUUCCAGAGGCAACAGUGAACUCAGACCUGGAGCCAGUGCUAAGAGACGAAAGAUUUUGACUCAUUUGCUGAAAGUAUUUGAUCAGUCCAGCCUGCUCCCUGUUUCAGCCUGAGACCCAUGCCUGCCUGGUACACUUAGUCAUCUUGGUUUUUUGCAGGUAAUUGUAGGUUCAAGACAUGUAUAUGUCCUCCCAGAGACAUUCUCUUAUCUUAUAAUUUUGAUUUUUAAACAGAAAUAGAAUUUAAACAAGGAGCUACCUUUUCCCACUCUGCAGUUAAACAUGAAGGCUUCAUAACGUUAAGAUAAGUACAUUUUGGUUUAACACUUCAGGGUUCAAGAUUUGUAUGUAAUUAUAUUAUGAUCUCAGUGAACACAGACUGCUUGCUUAUUGUGUUCUUUAUUGAAAAUUCUCUACCCAAAUUGAGUUUGAGGUUUCUCGUUGCCACAAGACAUAUAAUUCUUUCUUGACCACACUCUUAUUCUUCUGUUUGUUGUUUGGGACUUUUUUUUUUUCCAUAAUGAGCUAAUAAAAGGGAUGGUUGCAAAAUAAGUCUACAGUUUUCAUGUAAAGCUACCACAGACAGUCAGUUGAAGCCAUUUGUAGCUAAUUGUUUAAGAUGCAUGACAAGCUUCAGAUCAGAGUUCCAUUUUGGGAAGUAGUUACAUGCAUUGGCAGAUAGAUAGAUAGAUAGAUAGAUAGAUAGAUAGAUAGAUAGAUAGAUAGAUAGACAGACAGAUAGAUAGACAGAUGACAGAGUUUUAAUGGAAGGGUAUUCAAACCCUUGGAGCUCUAGAACACUUAACAUCCUGAAUCAGUGGAAAGGAGCCUUUGCCAUUGAUAAUUUGUAUUUUAUCCUUGUUCUAUAGUCAAUUAUAAACAGGACUUUUAAGGUCUUUGAAAAUUUAAGUAUCCAAACCUGCUUUCUGUUGAGGUUUACAUAUUCUCCCCUGGAAAUUAUAGGUCAUGGAUGGUUACUGUAUUUAUUUCAAGAAAAAUACUGAAAUGACAGAUGAACCACUUAGAUGAUACCAACCUUUCUAUGCUUAAUUGUGCAUGUGUCUUAAAGGAGUUGAUUUAUCUUAAUGGCAAUGUCACUCUAAAAUGUAUCUCAUCAUGUGUAUAAUUGAAGGACUUCAGCCACACUAAGUACUGAAGACAUUUUCUAGGCACAACUAACAAAUAAAGGGAUUGUUCUUAUUUGAAAA